rnacentral:rRNA from 1 species
GACGAACGCUGGCGGCGUGCUUAACACAUGCAAGUCGAGCGGUAAGGCCCUUUCGGGGGUACACGAGCGGCGAACGGGUGAGUAACACGUGGGUGACCUGCCCUCAGCUCUGGGAUAAGCCUGGGAAACCGGGUCUAAUACUGGAUAUGACUCCAUGACGCAUGUUGUGGGGUGGAAAGCCCUGUGCGGCUGAGGAUGGGCCCGCGGCCUAUCAGCUUGUUGGUGGGGUGANGGCCUACCAAGGCGACGACGGGUAGCCGGCCUGAGAGGGCGACCGGCCACACUGGGACUGAGACACGGCCCAGACUCCUACGGGAGGCAGCAGUGGGGAAUCUUGCGCAAUGGGCGAAAGCCUGACGCAGCGACGCCGCGUGAGGGAUGACGGCCUGGU